UUGCACUUCUGGAGGAGGGCAGGAUUGAAGAUCUGCAUGCCAUCAUUCAGAUUAAUUUGACAAGAAUUGUUAAUACUCUGCAUGUUGGGACUCCAUUGAUGGAGCAGAGAAGUCCCCAAAUACCCAUGUCCAUUGUUCUCAUGAAUUCCCAGUCAGAAAUGUAUUCUUUGUAUGGUAACUCUGUGUAUGCUGCAACCAAAUAUGGUCUAAAAGGAGUUGGAGAAACUCUCAACGAUGCCUUAUAACAUUUGAAUAAGCAUAGUCUUUCAAGGGUAUGUGAAACCCCAUGUUUGAUUACUAUAGGAGCUUCUUGAUCUGCAAACUAAUCCUCAUCUAAAUGAUAUAGCAGUAUAUUUUUUUUGAUGUUCUUUUUGAACUAAUGUAUGUGCAUGAGGUUUUAGAAAAACAUCUUGGAC